AAUUUCUUAUAUCAAAUUGAUACCCAAAAUUAGCUGGAGAACGAAUCUAAGAUCAAAGUAAAGAUUUGAAGAAAUGUAAAAUGGAGCAUUGGAGAUAAUGACAUAAAUCAAAGACAUGAACACAUGUGCUUAGUGUGUUAGAUGGAGAAUUGGAGAUAAUGACAUGAAAAUCAAUAGGAAUCAUGUGAGAGAGAGAGAGAGUACUAACUUGGAGAAGGCAGCGGAGGAUUCUUUUUCGAGCCAAUCGCGGAUGUGCUUGAUGUUACGCCUUAAGAUGGUGACAGAUUGCCUUCACAUCGUUUUUGUAAUCCGAAACUUGACUAAUGAAGCUAUCCCAGAGAGCAAAGAUUCAUUCUAGUUUUGCAGUAAAGAGAGAGAAAAAGAGCAAAAUCUGAAUCUCAGAUUUCAACAAAACCCUAGAAAUUCAAGUAUAACAAAAUUGAGGAACGAACUGAUAAGUUGACUGAUGAUGGGAAGAGGGGGAGAGAGAGAUCAAAACCAUGGUAAAGAUUUUUAUUUUCUUCCCUUGAUUGUGAGAGAAAGAGAGAGAAAAGAGAGGAGAAGGAGAGAGACCAAUAAAAUAAAACGAAAAAAAAAUGUAUUUAAAAGGUAAAUGGGUCAAAUAACCUAUCGAAAGUGUCUGCUUUUUUCAAAGUGUCUGAUUAGGAAUUAAUUUUCUAAAAAGUGCCUAAUUACGUAAUAUUCUCUAAUUAAUAUUUGGCAGCCAACAUUUGAUGAGUUCAACAAUUGGUCAAAUGCUAAACCGACGACCAAACCGUAUGAAGAAAUGGAGUGUACCGAGAA
rnacentral:sRNA from 1 species